rnacentral:pre_miRNA from 1 species
AAAAAAUGCAAACUCUGGGUUUCCACGUCUAACUUUGAUUGUCCGUCUUAUAUGAAUUUUUUUUAUAAUUUGUAUUUUUAUUGUUGUUAGAUGAUAAAACAUGAUUAAUAUUUUAUGCGUGACUUUUUUUUAAAGUUUUUUCAUAAUUUUUUCAAAUAAGA